GCCAACCAUUGAUCCGAAUACCAGGACCCUGCUUUUGUGUGGGUACCCAAAUGUUGGGAAGUCCAGCUUCAUCAACAAGGUGACGAGAGCAGACGUGGAUGUCCAGCCCUAUGCGUUCACAACCAAGUCUCUGUUUGUUGGGCACAUGGAUUAUAAGUAUCUACGUUGGCAGGUUGUAGACACUCCUGGGAUCCUGGACCACCCUCUGGAGGAUAGGAACACCAUCGAG
rnacentral:misc_RNA from 1 species